UUAUGUAUACAAUGUAUAUGUAUAUAAAGAACCUUAGACUCCAUUGAGGGUUUCCAGUGUGUAGACCUGUGUUCUAAAUUCCCUACUAGAAUUUCCACUUGCCCAUUUGCUAAGGGUGAGGAAUUAUUCCAGCUUAGCCAAUGGGAAAAGAACACUGUUUUUACUGGUUUCAUUACCUUGGUGCUGCGCAGAAGGAUUUCCAUAGCACUGGUGAGGGUGUGGCCCUGAUUGGAGAGAGGCCUGGAAGGUUUCCAUGCCAGCGGAGGGAUUGGAGAAAGACUUGGAAAAACAAUGCCGACCAUUGUUUCCUUAGCCUGCUUUGGCUCCCCUCAGUCUGCUCUGUGAAGACACUGAAUCCAUUGACUAAGUCACUGACAUUUUCCUAGCAGAGGACUUCAAGCACCAGAAGGGCAGAACGAACCCCUGUCUGUUUUGCUCAUUGUUCUAUCUUUAGCAAAUAUGAAGUCAUUAACACACAUAAACACAACCAAGUACUGUAUACCUUGCAGCGAUUGCUCACAUGAACUGAUCUGAUACCAAGUGGAAGUGACCUGCUCUCAGGCUCAGCACUUAAAGAAGCUUCUGAUGAACACAUCCCUGCCCAAUAAGAAGUUCCAGAAGGAAUUAAAACCAAAACUUAAAUGUUGAAAAGAAAGAGAUCAUCAGUAGCCACCAAAGAAGGUGUGUUGAAGGUGUCCAGAGUGGCAUGGGUCUGGUUCACAGCAGAACUACCACCUUUGGAUGUGGCAGAGAGCAAGAUAUACACUUUCUAUAACUCUAAAGAAUAAUCAAGGGAGUCACAGUGAAUCACAAGACUGCAAAUUCCUCGAGAGGUACAUGAAGCAGUGGAAAUAUGUUUGCACUGGAGUCAAACAGCCAUGGCUUGGAAGUCCAACUCUUCAUCUUCCAGCUCUGUGACCUUGCGAAGUUACUUAAUUUUAAAUGAAAUAAUGUAAUAAAGCACUUAACACAAUAGCUAUUAUUAUUGUUACUAUCUUUUUAUUCCUAAAGAUCUUAGUAACGCUUUGAAGAUCAUCACUUUUUCGAAAAUAUGUGUUGGCUGAUUUUUAUUUCAUUGAUCAAACUGUCUAAAUCCAGUCAUGUUAAUAUUUGGCACUAUUAGAAAGUAACUCA
rnacentral:lncRNA from 10 species